rnacentral:rRNA from 1 species
GGGGAAUAUUGGACAAUGGGGGCAACCCUGAUCCAGCAAUGCCGCGUGUGUGAAGAAGGUCUUCGGAUUGUAAAGCACUUUCGACGGGGACGAUGAUGACGGUACCCGUAGAAGAAGCCCCGGCUAACCUCGUGCCAGCAGCCGCGGUAAUACGAAGGGGGCUAGCGUUGCUCGGAAUGACUGGGCGUAAAGGGCGUGUAGGCGGUUUUGACAGUCAGAUGUGAAAUCCCCGGGCUUAACCUGGGAGCUGCAUUUGAGACGUUAAGACUAGAGUGUGAGAGAGGGUUGUGGAAUUCCCAGUGUAGAGGUGAAAUUCGUAGAUAUUGGGAAGAACACCGGUGGCGAAGGCGACUUUCUGGACGACAACUGACGCUGAGGCGCGAAAGCGUGGGAAGCAAAC